GUGCUGGUUUCAGCAGCACAUAUACUAAAAUUGGAAUGAUACAGAGAAGAUUAGCAUGGCCCCUGCAUGCAAGGAUGACCCGCAAAUUUAUGAAGUGUUCCAUAUUUCA
rnacentral:snRNA from 1 species